ensembl:lncRNA
UAUAGCCUGUGGAAGAGCUUAACCAUCUGGCAGGGAAGACAGACAUGGGCAGAUAGGUGACAACUCAGAGAAAUAAGGGGAGCAAUGAAAACACACCCAAAGGCAACACAGAACGGGGAGUGAUUCAUUGUAUGUAAGGUGCCGAUGGAAAGACCUCCGGGUGUUAAAUGACUGACUGGACCAGGUGGGAAAACAGGGAAGAAGUUCAAACAGAAACCGGAGCAGAGGUCAGGUAUGGUGGACACAAGGGUGUGCUGCCCAAUAUCCCCUCAGGAAAGGACGUGCUGCCAGGCUGCAGGAAGUGUGGUGGUCAGGCCGACCACAGCUGUCUGCUCCUUCGUGGUCUGCCUCAGGGGCAGAGAGCCAUCUCGCCAAGGUUAAGCCAUUCCUGGAGUGGUUUGCACUGGUAACUAAGUGAGACAGGGGUAUCAAGGCCUGGCUGUUUUGACCUGAUCCUGGACACUAUGACAAGGAAUAGUGGCUCCCGCGCUCACUGUGGGGCUGGCCAUGGCUUUGCCAGUCCUGCACUCCAUGCAGGUUCUUCCUCUGCCUGAUCCUGCUUCCUCCUUCUUCCCCUCACAGCCUGUCCCCUGUGACUUAUUUCUGAGGCCCUGGGUGAGAGAGGCUGUAUCAAAACUGAGUGUGACAUGGAGAGACUGAGGCCUCAGCAGCACAGCCACCAGUGACAAGAACAAAGAACCUGUGAUAUGGUGCAUGGCAUGGUGACCCCACAGCUGAUUCAGCUCUUCUCUACUGCUAAGCCUGGAGUGUUUCCAGUGUUUCACUCUAAGUGUCACAAGGACCCCCUGAAGCACCCGUCAUCCUGUGUGAUGACCUGUUUGGCGAUAUUCCCCUCACAAGACCAUAGGCUCCUUACCUUCAGAGACCUGCAUGUCCUGAGUCCACCGUGACAAGCACACCACCUGGCCGGGGGACUGCCCAAUGAGGAUUGUGAGAUGAAAGAACGAUGGGUGACGAACUGAACGAGCGGUCACUGAAUGCAUUCAGCUGAAGACAUUUGCAUGGCGUCUGCUAUGAGUCAGGAAGCUGCAGGCCCUCAUGGGAGGUGUGACCAUAGACCACACUUCCUUGACUGGAGGAAAGAUGUUUGGGAAAUAACCAAGAGAAGAUUCUCCAUGAAUAUUAACAUAUGGCAGGCUCUGCGAAGACCUAGAGAAAACGUAUUAAGACAAAUGGCUUCACCCCUGAACACAGGGGGAACCAGACACUCUAUAUGCAGUUCAACAUCCCCGAGGUUCCUGUGAGUUUAACAUACAGCUGUGGAGCACGACAGACCUCUGCAGAAAGUACUGGGAAAUGGUCCUUCAACAAUACAUUACCAGGAAGUUUGCCUGUAAUAACUGCGGAAGGGACAAGCGAAAAGGUCAGAGACGGUCUGAGUUAAGCAUUGAUUUGAAAGGUACAGGGCAAAUCCUUCAGUGGACUGAUCGGGGAAAAAGGAGGCAGCUCUGGUUUCCAACACCAGGAAUGAAAGAGGGAGCCACACUAUAGAUCCUGCAGUCAUCAAAAGGAUCAUCAGGCAAUAUUAUGGUCAAUGUUAUGCCAAUGAAUUUCACAACUUAGAGGAUAUGGACUAAGCUGGACCUCAACUGACGGCUUUUGUACUGAAUUGUGAAAACACUAGAGGGAAAGGAAAUAAAGUGAAAGAGGAAAAGGAGGAGCCUAACCAGGACAAAUAUGCAAAGACGUAGACUGUCACUGUCUUGAGGAAAUAGACAUAUGGUCUUCGUGGCUGGCAACCUCCAAAACGGCUCUUCUUGAUCUUCUCACCCCUGUGUAAGAGCCUCCUUUUGAAGGUGGCCUGGACCAAGUGACUGACUUCUAAUGAACAGAAUAUGGCAAAAGUGAUGGGUAUGACUUUCAAGAGUAAGUUGCAAAAAGACUGCACUUUCCAUCUUGAGUGUUCUCUUUCCCUCUCUCACAGAUUGCUCCCCCGGGAAAGCCAGCUGCUGGGCCCGUGUAACAAGGGGCCAAGCCCGUCAACAGCCAAUGAGUGAGCUUUGCCCACACCAGCAUCUUCACACCUUCAGAUGAGUCCACGGCCCUGGCCUAAGUGUGACUGCAGCUUCAUGAGAGACCCUGAGUCGGAGGCACCCAGCAAAGCCACACCUGGAUUCCUGACCCACAGAGAUAAUAGAUGUUUGUUCUUUUAGUCAACUGAGCUUUGGAGUAAUUUGUUAUGCAACAAUAGAUUCGCUAAUAGAGCCGCCAUAUUCAGAAGAUAUUUCUCGCUAUCCCUCAAACAAGCUGUGGUCAGGGCCAGAGGGCUUCAUUCCUUACCUGGUACAUUUCCACCAAGGCUACAUUGCCAGCCUUACCCCAAACACCAAGCACGAGGCCUUGGGGGUCAGAGACUUAAAGAACAUCCUUUAUAAGACCACACGCACCUUGUUCAACCUCUAAACCUACUUCCGUAUCUUUAAAAUGGACCCCUGGGGAAGGUUGAAGGAAAGAGUGCCUGAAAGUUCCCAGCACAGUCUCCUGCACGUGGUGGACGCUCAGUAAACAUUGCCUCUUGUGCUCACAUCAGCCUCACUAAGCAAGCACCCAAAGAGCAAAUUAGCUUCCCACCAACAACCGACCACAGUGCAAAAUGGAAUCACAACCCCCUUGCCAAAGAUGUACUCCCGCACUCUGCCCUCUGGUAGCUCAGAGGAACAGCUGAGAGAAAGCAUGCAGUCCGCGCGCCCUGAGUCAAAGACCUGCCUCCUAGAGGCUCCUCUGCUGCUCCCCCAGGGCCGUGGCGAGCCAGCCCUCUGGGCCAUGCUUUCUCAACUUCACAUUAGGCAGUGCUGGCUUCUGGUUUCCGGUCUGGUGUGGAAAUUGUGACUCCAUCUUAAGAAAAGUCAAAAGCUGAACAAACUGAAAAAUCAACUUUUCUUAGAGCCUUCAGAAAAGCAAGGUCACAGGGAAAACUGCUGCCCCCCAAGUGGGAGAGCCAGGCAGCAGACACUGAGAAUCACGACUUCCUGGAGCAGAGUCCCCGCGGGCAGCAGGACCAGGACAGGAAAACCUAAGCUGGGAUUGAUGGACUGCUGGAGGCUCAGUGUGGACAAGUCCGAGAGUUAACAACUCCAGGGGACCAGCCAGAGGGGGCUCUCAAAAUAUUGUGAGCUUUACCUCCCAGAGCUCUCCCAUGUUCUCACAGAGAAUAUCUCAGAAAGAUCCCCGUGCGUUUCCAGCCAGGGAGGGGGAAAAGGAACCGUUGUGAAACACACCAGAGCAUGCUGUUCUUCUUAACAGGGCCUGCCCUCAAGAGAAACUGUUUUACCGAGUCCAACUAACCUGGGAGAAAGGAAACACCCAACUCCAGCCCUUUCUAGCCAUCCUGUCCCGCCUAAGAAGAGGAAAAGCACUUGUGAAGGUCACAGCUCAGAGGCACAGAACUCACUAAGGACUGAAACUAAUCACAGGACUAGAGCACGUCCCCUCCCCCACCUCACCUCCUCACUGCUAAGUGUGGUCUAUUUACCACAAUUCCUUUCCCG